GACAGAGGAUGCAAGCGUUGUCCGGAAUCACUGGGCGUAAAGCGUCUGUAGGUGGUCAAAUAAGUCAACUGUUAAAUCUUGAGGCUCAACCUCAAAAAUCGCAGUCGAAAACUAUUCGACUAGAGUAUAGUAGGGGUAAAGGGAAAUUUCCAGUGGAGCGGUGAAAUGCGUAGAGAUUGGAAAAGAACACCGAUGGCGAAGGCACUUUACUGGGCUAUUACUAACACUGAGAGACGAAAGCUAGGGUAGCAAAUGGG
rnacentral:rRNA from 1 species